UAUUAAAUUUAUUCAAUAAUAAAUAACAAUCACAUAUACGACAAAUAUACAGAUGAAAAUAAUAAAAUGACCCAAAAUUAUUUUGAUUUGUUGAAAACAUGUCGGGCUAUUAGCGGAGAAACUAAUUAUAAUACAUAUGUACUAAGGCUAAGAGUUAUUGGAUGUAUACCAUUACCCGAACAGUACUGGAUAGAUGAACCAACUGAAUUAUUAAAAGUUGUCAAAUAGCUUCCAUUUUUAUAUACAAAUGUAUUUCGUGAUAUCUGUAUUCAAAAUAUCAAAAUUUUAUUUUGUAUAUAAUUGCAUAUUUUACUGUUUUUUAUUUUUAAAUGCAUUAUUAUUGUUACAAAAUUGUUACAAAAUAAGUAUGUUGUAUGUUUAAUGACAGUUAUUUUACAACUGAAUAGCAAUUAAAUGAUCUUUAUAAGUUAUAUAAUAAAAUUUUAAUCUAGUUAGUAAAGUUAUUUAGCACUUGUAUAUUUAUGGAAUUUAAUAAUAAAGUAAAAAGGUAUACAUAGCCAAGGUACAUGGCCAUACAUUAGAAUGAAAAAAAAUGGUAUUUUCACCCACGAUAUUAUAUAACACUAGCGCAACAACGUAGGUACCUAUUAUAAUUAUAAUUUAGUUAAAAAGUUUAAUUAUUUAAAAUAAAGAUAUUUUAUGUUGAAAAAAA